GACGAACGCUGGCGGCGUGCCUAAUACAUGCAAGUAGAACGCUGAAGAGAGGAGCUUGCUCUUCUUGGAUGAGUUGCGAACGGGUGAGUAACGCGUAGGUAACCUGCCUUGUAGCGGGGGAUAACUAUUGGAAACGAUAGCUAAUACCGCAUAACAAUGGAUGACACAUGUCAUUUAUUUGAAAGGGGCAAUUGCUCCACUACAAGAUGGACCUGCGUUGUAUUAGCUAGUAGGUGAGGUAAUGGCUCACCUAGGCGACGAUACAUAGCCGACCUGAGAGGGUGAUCGGCCACACUGGGACUGAGACACGGCCCAGACUCCUACGGGAGGCAGCAGUAGGGAAUCUUCGGCAAUGGGGGCAACCCUGACCGAGCAACGCCGCGUGAGUGAAGAAGGUUUUCGGAUCGUAAAGCUCUGUUGUAAGUCAAGAACGGGUGUGAGAGUGGAAAGUUCACACUGUGACGGUAGCUUACCAGAAAGGGACGGCUAACUACGUGCCAGCAGCCGCGGUAAUACGUAGGUCCCGAGCGUUGUCCGGAUUUAUUGGGCGUAAAGCGAGCGCAGGCGGCUUGAUAAGUCUGAAGUUAAAGGCUGUGGCUCAACCAUAGUUCGCUUUGGAAACUGUCAAACUUGAGUGCAGAAGGGGAGAGUGGAAUUCCAUGUGUAGCGGUGAAAUGCGUAGAUAUAUGGAGGAACACCGGUGGCGAAAGCGGCUCUCUGGUCUGUAACUGACGCUGAGGCUCGAAAGCGUGGGGAGCGAACAGGAUUAGAUACCCUGGUAGUCCGCGCCGUAAACGAUGAGUGCUAGGUGUUGGAUCCUUUCCGGGAUUCAGUGCCGCAGCUAACGCAUUAAGCACUCCGCCUGGGGAGUACGACCGCAAGGUUGAAACUCAAAGGAAUUGACGGGGGCCCGCACAAGCGGUGGAGCAUGUGGUUUAAUUCGAAGCAACGCGAAGAACCUUACCAGGUCUUGACAUCCCGAUGCUAUUUCUAGAGAUAGAAAGUUACUUCGGUACAUCGGUGACAGGUGGUGCAUGGUUGUCGUCAGCUCGUGUCGUGAGAUGUUGGGUUAAGUCCCGCAACGAGCGCAACCCCUAUUGUUAGUUGCCAUCAUUCAGUUGGGCACUCUAGCGAGACUGCCGGUAAUAAACCGGAGGAAGGUGGGGAUGACGUCAAAUCAUCAUGCCCCUUAUGACCUGGGCUACACACGUGCUACAAUGGUUGGUACAACGAGUUGCGAGUCGGUGACGGCGAGCUAAUCUCUUAAAGCCAAUCUCAGUUCGGAUUGUAGGCUGCAACUCGCCUACAUGAAGUCGGAAUCGCUAGUAAUCGCGGAUCAGCACGCCGCGGUGAAUACGUUCCCGGGCCU
rnacentral:rRNA from 1 species